UGCUACUGCAGGAGGUUCUUUUGUUGGAGAUUCCUCCUUUGUGGAGUUUUUACUGUUAAGCCUGGAACUUGGUAGAUGGCUAUUACCUGGGAGAAGCAACCAACCCCUGCUCUGCCACUACCUCCUUUCAAGUAUUUGUAGAGAGCAAUAAGGUCUCCCACGAGCCUCCUCUUCUGCAGACAAUCCCUCAGAUGCUCCUGUUUCUUUCCUUUAGAUGUUACCAGACAGCAGCCGUGAAACAGGAAAACAGUGAAGAGCAGAAAUAGAGGGCUGAGAUGAUGGACACGUCACAGGGAGAGGGCAGGACUCAGCAGCGGCUCCUUGGGCUCUGGGGCUGACAAAGAGCAGUCCCUGCCUGUAGGAGCCCGCAGUCCCCCAUGAUUGGAAACAGGAAACGAACCUCGGAGCUUUGUGAGGAAAUACCUUCUGCCCAGGCAAUCUAGGAGACAGCUUGAGAUCAUGCUCUGGAAUUUGUCAGGGGCUGCAGGUUUUGUACUGGAACAACAAUCUACUCUCAUAUCUUCCCCAGUAUAUUUAAGACUUCUUCAAACUAAAACAUUAUAGUGAGCCGUGGGAAGAAAAAAUAUGCUGAAAUUAAACUUGGUUCUAAACAAAUGGAAGACCAUGGUUUACUUUUCUGGAAAAUCCCAGGGUUAGCAAUCCUUUUACAUGUGCACACCCUGAUAUUUGCCAUUCAGCCAGGAAGCUUUGUAGUCUUUCAAAAGUCCUGCAGAAUUUUGUUCCUUAUUAACCUCUCUUUUUUUGCCCCUGCACGUGUUCAGGGGGUAGUGCUCACUCUUGUUUUUGGAUUGCAACAUAGGUUGCUCCAAAAGUUAUGCUCCUUAUUUAUUUCCACAGAAAUGGACAAUAACACUACUUCAGCACAGCAGAGGCCCUGACAAAACAAUACCUUUCUGUGGCAUAGGAGCUGCACUGAGUUGCCAAGAGAGAGGUACAGCUUCACCAUCCAGACAGAGCAAAAUAAACUUACAGAAAAGCUCUGAAAAGGAUGGAAUGCUUUGUUUUCUUUACAGUCUCAGCAUAGAAUGAGUUUUGCUUAUUUGUAUUUGGUCUUUUUUUGCUUUGAUUUCAUUAGAUACUACAGCUAAAUGCACCUUUGAGUCAUACCUCAGAUGCUCUGAUGCCAGAGGGCUCUCAGGCUGAGGAUUACACAUGCACAUGCUCACAAAAAAGGGAGAGUGCAACUCACUGUGGCUUUUUCAUGCGGAGUAAAAGCUGACUAAAAGUAACUUCUGUCUUAACAACAGAGAGCUCUUGUGCAUUCUGAAUUGCAUGAAGUCACUGGAGCUAAAUCUCUUUCCACUUGAGUUAUACACUAGACCUGCAAAGCAAUAGCCAAACCACUACUUUGUCCAAAUAUCUUUCCCAUCCGAGGUGUAGCAUGAAACAAUCUUCACAGAGCUGCCUGCACUAAUACCAAGCAUCUGGGUAUGGCUAAAGAACGAUGCAGAAAUCCGUUCCGAAUCCUAGUGGUGUGGGACUGCUGGGAGGGAGUUAACUCCUCUCCUGCAGGGGGUGAACCCUGGAUCUGCUGUGGUUUGGCAAAGCUGCCACACCUGGAGCCUACUCCUAGCCCCAGGCAUGGUGCCAAGGGGAGCAACAGAGGAGAAAAGCAGACUGUGUGCAGUUCUUACCAGUACCAGCCCAUCGGCAGUGCUGCUUCAACAGCCAGGUUCAGCCUGUCCCUGUACAUACAUUUUGCAUAGUGAUAGCUAACCGCAGCCACUUACUGACCCCAGCUGGCAGGGAUCCUGCCUGCUGUUGCACUCAUGUUAGCAACUGAUGUGUGGGCCAGUUGAGUGCUGCUGCAACAGGAGGAGCUGAAAGCAUCCAAAGAGGUCUAAAAGGAAAGUGGAGGCAAAAGCUCCAGGAGCACACCUAUCUGCUUCUGAGGGGAUGGGAUUUUAUCUCUUAAAACAUAGGUCCAUGAAGAAAAGAGCUUUCUGUAGGGUAGGCUGAUUGUGUCAAGAGAUGUAAAAUGAAAAAUGGGGGACGGAACAAGCCAUGAUGAUGUGACUGCACUGCAAUCCAGAGAGUGAUGCAAGGGCAGCUGUUGAGCUCACCUCAGCAUCUCCUGGUGGGAUAAAAAUGUUAUUUGAUCCUCUUUUCCUGUCUUUUGAGUCUUCCUCCAUUGGAAAACAGAAGUCUUUGAACACCCGCACGGAUUGAUCCAGGCUUCCAUGCCCACCAGCCUGAUGAGGCAGGUAGAAGAUGCACUGAUCUGAUUGCCACUGCCAGUAAUUAGCAGAUUCCUUGACAA